UGCAAAUAGAAUCAAAAGUUCCUGAUAUAGAAUAAGCAAAUGAUGGAAGAAGCCAAGUUUCCUGAGUGGCCACUAGGAAAACUCUGUCUUCUUUAUCAAAACUAUGAGGUAUGUGUCCUCCAAAUUCUUAUGUUGGAACUUCAGCCCCAAAGUGAUUGUAUUAGAAGGUGAAACAUUUAAGAGAUGAUUAAGUCAUAAGGGCUCUGACCUUCUGAGUGGGAUUAAUGUUCUUAUAAAAGGGCUGGCGAGAACUAGCUAUGCCUUUUUGCCCUUCUGCCAUGUGAGGACACAGCAACAAGGAGCUGUCUAAAAAGCUGAGACGGAGCCUUCACCAGACACUGAAUCUGCCGGCGACUUGAUCUUGGAUUUCCCAGCCUCAAGAACUGUGAAAAUAAACUUCUGUUGCUUAUAAAUUA